UAAGGAAUAUUGGUCAAUGGGCGGAAGCCUGAACCAGCCAUGCCGCGUGCAGGAAGACGGCCCUACGGGUUGUAAACUGCUUUUGCAGGGGAAUAAACCUUCGUAUGUAUACGAAGCUGAAUGUACUCUGAGAAUAAGGAUCGGCUAACUCCGUGCCAGCAGCCGCGGUAAUACGGAGGAUCCAAGCGUUAUCCGGAUUUAUUGGGUUUAAAGGGUGCGUAGGUGGUCUAUUAAGUCAGGGGUGAAAGACGGCAGCUUAACUGUCGCAGUGCCUUUGAUACUGAUGGACUUGAAUAAACUAGAGGUAGGCGGAAUGUGACAAGUAGCGGUGAAAUGCAUAGAUAUGUCACAGAACACCAAUUGCGAAGGCAGCUUACUAUGGUUUUAUUGACACUGAGGCACGAAAGCGUGGGGAUCAAACA
rnacentral:rRNA from 1 species